rnacentral:rRNA from 1 species
CAGUCGCCGCGGUAAUACAGAGGGUGCGAGCGUUAAUCGGAUUUACUGGGCGUAAAGCGUGCGUAGGCGGCUUCUUAAGUCGGAUGUGAAAUCCCUGAGCUUAACUUAGGAAUUGCAUUUGAUACUGGGAAGCUAGAGUAUGGGAGAGGAUGGUAGAAUUCCAGGUGUAGCGGUGAAAUGCGUAGAGAUCUGGAGGAAUACCGAUGGCGAAGGCAGCCAUCUGGCCUAAUACUGACGCUGAGGUACGAAAGCAUGGGGAGCAAACAGGAUUAGAUACCCCGGUAGUCCCUGUCUCUUAUAC